AACGAACGCUGGCGGCAGGCUUAACACAUGCAAGUCGAACGCUCCGCAAGGGGAGUGGCAGACGGGUGAGUAACACGUGGGAACCUUCCCAUCGCUACGGGAAUAGCUCAGGGAAACUUGGGGUAAUACCGUAUACGCCCGAAAGGGGAAAGAUUUAUCGGCGAUGGAUGGGCCCGCGGCUGAUUAGCUAGUUGGUGAGGUAACGGCUCACCAAGGCGACGAUCAGUAGCUGGUCUGAGAGGACGACCAGCCACACUGGGACUGAGACACGGCCCAGACUCCUACGGGAGGCAGCAGUGGGGAAUAUUGGACAAUGGGCGCAAGCCUGAUCCAGCCAUGCCGCGUGAGUGACGAAGGUCUUCGGAUUGUAAAGCUCUUUUGGCGGGGACGAUAAUGACGGUACCCGCAGAAUAAGCCCCGGCUAACUUCGUGCCAGCAGCCGCGGUAAU
rnacentral:rRNA from 1 species